ACAGUGUCUGGUGGGUAGUUUGACUGGGGCGGUCUCCUCCUAAAGAGUAACGGAGGAGCACGAAGGUUGGCUAAUCCUGGUCGGACAUCAGGAGGUUAGUGCAAUGGCAUAAGCCAGCUUGACUGCGAGCGUGACGGCGCGAGCAGGUGCGAAAGCAGGUCAUAGUGAUCCGGUGGUUCUGAAUGGAAGGGCCAUCGCUCAACGGAUAAAAGGUACUCCGGGGAUAACAGGCUGAUACCGCCCAAGAGUUCAUAUCGACGGCGGUGUUUGGCACCUCGAUGUCGGCUCAUCACAUCCUGGGGCUGAAGUAGGUCCCAAGGGUAUGGCUGUUCGCCAUUUAAAGUGGUACGCGAGCUGGGUUUAGAACGUCGUGAGACAGUUCGGUCCCUAUCUGCCGUGGGCGCUGGAGAACUGAGGGGGGCUGCUCCUAGUACGAGAGGACCGGAGUGGACGCAUCACUGGUGUUCGGGUUGUCAUGCCAAUGGCACUGCCCGGUAGCUAAAUGCGGAAGAGAUAAGUGCUGAAAGCAUCUAAGCACGAAACUUGCCCCGAGAUGAGUUCUCCCUGACUCCUUGAGAGUCCUGAAGGAACGUUGAAGACGACGACGUUGAUAGGCCGGGUGUGUAAGCGCA
rnacentral:rRNA from 1 species